GCAGCCAUCUUACCGGACAGUGCUGGACUGUAUAACUGUUUUCUAACACUGUCUGGUAACGAUGUUUGU
rfam:Danio rerio chromosome 23, GRCz11 reference primary assembly.